rnacentral:rRNA from 1 species
GACGAACGCUGGCGGCGUGCCUAAUACAUGCAAGUAGAACGCUGAAGGAGGAGCUUGCUUCUCUGGAUGAGUUGCGAACGGGUGAGUAACGCGUAGGUAACCUGCCUGGUAGCGGGGGAUAACUAUUGGAAACUAUAGCUAAUACCGCAUAAUAGUAGAUGUUGCAUGACAUUUGCUUAAAAGGUGCAAUUGCAUCACUACCAGAUGGACCUGCGUUGUAUUGGCUAGUUGUUGUGGUAACGGCUCACCAAGGCGACGAUACAUAGCCGACCGGAGAGGGGGAGUAGCCGCACUGGGACGGUGACCCGGCACAGAGUGCUAGGGGAGGCAGCAGUACGGCAUCGGGGGGAAGGGGUGGAAGAUUGAGCGAGAUAGGCGGAGGGCGUGAGGAACGUUUUCGGAUGGGGAAGCUCGGUUGUCAGAGAAGAAAGCGUGUGAGAGUGGAAAGUUCACUCUGUGACGGUAACUGACAAGAAAGGGACGGCUAACUACGUG